CCGGCCUCAGAGCUGCUCCCUGGAUCCAAGCAGCCGCUGUCUGCCCCCCAUCACCCCCACUACCAUGUGCAGCCCCCAGGCCUGUCCCCCAUCCGGCUACAGCAAGGUCGGAUCCCAGCCCCACUGAUCCCCCCCAAUCCCAACCCCCCACCCCAGUCUGUGUGAGUCCUCCCCUUCCACACCCCACCAGAGAUGUUUCACGCCUUGGUGGCUGGGGGCAUCGUCUUCCCAGGGCUCUUCCUGCUGGCCAAGAACAGCCUCAAGCGGCUGCCCUGGCUGCAGUGGGAUGAGGCCGACGCUGUCAUCAUCUCAGCCAGGCUGGUGUCCUCCAUCCAGGCCAUCAUGGCCUCCACCGCCGGAUACAUCGUGUUCAGCUCCUGCCAGCACGUUCUCGACGACCAGUGAGUGUGCCCCCCG